UCGAGCGGUAGCACAGAAAGCUUGCUCUCGGGUGACGAUCGGCGGACGGGUGAGUAAUGUCUGGGAAACUGCCUGAUGGAGGGGGAUAACUACUGGCAAACGGUAGCUAAUACCGCAUAACGUCGCAAGACCAAAGUGGGGGACCUUCGGGCCUCAUGCCAUCAAAUGUGCCCAGAUAGGAUUAGCUGGUAGGUGGGGUAACGGCUCACCUANGCGACGAUCCCUAACUGGUCUGAGAGGAUGACCAGCCACACUGGAACUUAUACACGGUCCAG
rnacentral:rRNA from 1 species